rnacentral:rRNA from 1 species
UACAGAGGUCUCAAGCGUUGUUCGGAUUCAUUGGGCGUAAAGGGUGCGUAGGUGGCGCUGUAAGUCGGGUGUGAAAUUUCGGAGCUCAACUCCGAAACUGCAUUUGAUACUGCGGUGCUUGAGGACUGGAGAGGAGACUGGAAUUCACGGUGUAGCAGUGAAAUGCGUAGAUAUCGUGAGGAAGACCAGUGGCGAAGGCGGGUCUCUGGACAGUUCCUGACACUGAGGCACGAAGGCCAGGGGAGCAAACGGG